AGAGUUUGAUCAUGGCUCAGGACGAACGCUGGCGGCGUGCUUAACACAUGCAAGUCGAAUGAGAUCCAUUCAGUAGCAAUACUGAUGAAGAUCUAGUGGCGAACGGGUGCGUAACACGUGAGGAACUUGUCCCGGUCUCUGGGAUAACAGUUGGAAACGACUGCUAAUACCGGAUGACGUCGGAACUUCGCAUGGAGUACUGACGAAAGGGUUACUGGAUCGGGAGAGCCUCGCGGCCUAUCAGCUUGUUGGUGGGGUAAUGGCCUACCAAGGCAUCGACGGGUAGCUGGUCUGAGAGGAUGAUCAGCCACACUGGGACUGAGACACGGCCCAGACUCCUACGGGAGGCAGCAGUGGGGAAUCUUGCACAAUGGGCGAAAGCCUGAUGCAGCAACGCCGCGUGCGGGAAGAAGGCCCUCGGGUUGUAAACCGCUUUCAGAAGGAACGAAACUGACGGUACUUUCAGAAGAAGGUGCGGCCAACUACGUGCCAGCAGCCGCGGUGACACGUAGGCACCAAGCGUUGUCCGGAUUUAUUGGGCGUAAAGAGCUCGUAGGCGGUUCAGUAAGUCGGGUGUGAAAACUUUGGGCUUAACCCAAAGCGUGCAUCCGAUACUGCUGUGACUUGAGUACGGUAGGGGAGCGGGGAAUUCCUAGUGUAGCGGUGAAAUGCGCAGAUAUUAGGAGGAACACCGGUGGCGAAGGCGCCGCUCUGGGCCGAAACUGACGCUGAGGAGCGAAAGCAUGGGUAGCAAACAGGAUUAGAUACCCUUGUAGUCC
rnacentral:rRNA from 1 species